AUUGAACGCUGGCGGCAGGCCUAACACAUGCAAGUCGAGCGAGCGGCGGACGGGUGAGUAAUGUAUGGGGAACUGCCCGAUAGAGGGGGAUAACUACUGGAAACGGUGGCUAAUACCGCAUACUAUCGGAUGCACCCAUAUGGGAUUAGCUAGUAGGUGGGGUAAAGGCUCACCUGGGCGACGAUCCCUAGCUGGUCUGAGAGGAUGACCAGCCACACUGGAACUGAGACACGGCCCAGACUCCUACGUGAGGCAGCAGUGGGGAAUAUUGCACAAUGGGCGCAAGCCUGAUGCAGCCAUGCCGCGUGUAUGAAGAAGGCCUUAGGGUUGUAAAGUACUUUCAGCGGGGAGGCGUUACCCGCAGAAGAAGCACCGGCUAACUCCGUGCCAGCAGCCGCGGUAAUUC
rnacentral:rRNA from 1 species